rnacentral:lncRNA from 1 species
AACCCCUGAGAAAUGAAGGAGAGCAACAGAAGAGCCAGCUUUGGAGUUCCCACUGUGGAUUUUGUUACAAAAAUGUGUGGACUGGACAUCAAGUUUGACUCUUACUCGUGGCAAAUGAUAAUGCUGGAUCUGUGGCAACGAGACAAAAGCAGCACAUCUUGUUAGAUGUUAAAAUGUAGAAAAAAAUGUAGGUUCUGUAGCAGUUCAAGUGUCUUUUAAGGAAAUGACUCAGGAAAGAAGUCAUGAAAAGGAGGGUAAAUGUCCUUUGAAAUCAUGAAAAAUAUCCUAGUGUGGGGAGCAACUCGGACUACACUAAGUUACUGGAAUUAAGACUUAUUCUAUGCAUCUGCUCUCCCACAAUAUGGCGCUGGGAGAGGAGUAAACAGCUUUUACGCAGCUGUCUCUCACCAACUUGAGUGAUGACCUGCAGGAGCUGAUCCUGCUCCUGAUUGGAGGAGAGCAGCGUACUCGGCGUGUGGGUAGCAGAGUUGGGAUUGGUGGAAGAGGACUA